CUAAGAAUCUUCUGCAAUGGACGAAAGUCUGACAGAGCGACGCCGCGUGGGUGAUGAAGGCCGGAAGGUUGUAAAGCCCUUUUCUAUCUGAGGAAUAACCACUUGAGGCAAUGCGAGUGGGAUGACGGUAGGGUAGGAAUAAGCCCCGGCCAAUUACGUGCCAGCAGCCGCGGUAACACGUAUGGGGCGAGCGUUGUUCGGAAUCAUUGGGCGUAAAGGGCGCGUAGGCGGAAAUGCAAGCUUGGUGUGAAAACCCGCAGCUCAACUGCGGAUCCGCGCUGAGAACUGCAUAUCUAGAGUUCAAGAGGGGAAGCUGGAAUUCCUGGUGUAGGGGUGAAAUCUGUAGAGAUCAGGAAGAACAUCAGUGGCGAAGGCGAGCUUCUGGCUAUGAACUGACGCUAAGGCGCGAAAGCGUGGGGAGCGAACAGGAUUAGAUACCCCCGUAGUCC
rnacentral:rRNA from 1 species